rnacentral:rRNA from 1 species
GACAGAGGGUGCAAGCGUUGUUCGGAUUUACUGGGCGUAAAGCGCGUGUAGGCGGCUUCGUAAGUUGGAUGUGAAAUCCCACGGCUCAACCGUGGACGUGCAUCCAAAACUACGUCGCUGGAGUCUCGGAGAGGAAGGUGGAAUGCUUGGUGUAGAGGUGAAAUUCGUAGAUAUCAAGCAGAACACCUGCGGCGAAGGCGGCCUUCUGGACGAUGACUGACGCUGAAACGCGAAAGCGUGGGGAGCAAACAGG